CAGCCUACCAUGGGUACCAGGUUCUUUUCCUGGUUUGCCCUCUGUCUUCUGGGAAUAGCCUCUGUCUUCAUAGAUCACACCGAAGCUGGAGUCUCCCAGUCCCCCAGUUACAAGAAUGAACUUCCAUCAGACACCUCAGGGAUGCCUACUGAGAGGUUCUCAACAGAGAGGACUGAGGGCACCUUCUCCCAUCUGAAGAUCAAAAGUGCACAGCCAGGGGAUUCUGCUGUGUACCUCUGUGCAAG